rnacentral:rRNA from 1 species
UACGUAGGGUGCGAGCGUUGUCCGGAAUUAUUGGGCGUAAAGAGCUCGUAGGCGGUGUGUCACGUCGGCCGUGAAAACCUGCAGCUUAACUGUGGGCGUGCGGUCGAUACGGGCAUCACUGGAGUUCGGCAGGGGAGACUGGAAUUCUCGGUGUAGCAGUGAAAUGCGUAGAUAUCGAGAGGAACACCAGUGGCGAAGGCGAGUCUCUGGACGACUCCUGACACUGAGGCACGAAAGCUGGGGGAGCAAACAGG